rnacentral:rRNA from 1 species
GACAGAGGUCUCGAGCGUUAGGCGGAAUCACUGGGCUUAAAGCGUGUGUAGGCGGAUCGGUAAGUACCUUGUGAAAUCCCACAGCUUAACUGUGGAACUGCUUGGUAUACUGCCAGUCUUGAGCCAGCUAGGGGCUACCGGAACAAAUGGUGGAGCGGUGAAAUGCGUAGAUAUCAGGAGGAACACCGGUGGCGAAGGCGGAUCUCUGGGCCUUACCUGACGCUCAGGCGCGAAAGCUAGGGGAGCGAACAGG